AUUGAACGCUGGCGGCAGGCCUAACACAUGCAAGUCGAGCGGAGCGGCGGACGGGUGAGUAAUGCCUAGGAAUCUGCCUGGUAGUGGGGGAUAACGUCCGGAAACGGGCGCUAAUACCGCAUACUAUCAGACGAGCCUAGGUCGGAUUAGCUAGUUGGUGGGGUAAAGGCCUACCAAGGCGACGAUACGUAACUGGUCUGAGAGGAUGAUCAGUCAAACUGGAACGGAGACACGUGCGAGAUGCCUACGGGAUGCAGCAGUGGGGAAUAUUGGACAAUGGGCGGAAGUCUGAUCCAGCCAUGCCGCUUGUGUGAAGAAGGUCGUCGGAUUGUAAAGCACUUUAAGUUGGGAGGCGUUACCAACAGAAUAAGGACCGGCUAACUUCGUGCCAGCAGCCGCGGUAAUUC
rnacentral:rRNA from 1 species